UACGUAGGGGGCAAGCGUUGUCCGGAGUUACUGGGCGUAAAGGGCACGCAGGCGGGGUGAAGCGUUUCCGGUGCCAGCUCCUCGCUUAACGAGGGGAGUGCCGGGAAGACGAUCACUCUUGAGGGCCUCAGAGGGACAUAGAAUUCCGGGUGGAGUGGUGAAAUGCGUAGAGAUCCGGAGGAAUACCCAAGGCGAAGGCAUGGUCCUGGGAACCAUCUGACGCUCAGGCGCGAAAGCGAGGGGAG
rnacentral:rRNA from 1 species